ensembl:lncRNA
CUGGGCUCAAGCAUGAGAUCCUCCUGCCUCAGCCUCUCACUGCAUGGCCACCACACCCAGUGUGUUUGUUUUAUCAGUUUUGAUCUGUUUGAUCCAUCUUUUCAGACCGCAGUGUGAUAUACAGUGGACCCUUGAGUUUUGACCGGCCUGAACAACUGGGUUACGACUGGAAUUUUAGUUUUAACUUACGACUAAAGUCUUGCGUUACCACCCAAGUGCUGGCUGCUCAGGGUUUCCGAUGGGCUCAGGUGCAGGCUGAACCCUAAAGGUCUCUGGAAGGAACAGGACAGCGUCCUCUGCCGUGUGGGCCUCACUGAGCAAUCCCGGGCCGGGGUCUCUCUCAGGACCCUGAGCUCUGCCUGUGGGCAGCAGAGAGGCCCUGAAGGCUGUGGAGGGGCUGAGCCUCCACUGACAGACCUGGGUUACAACCAGCCCUGGGGCACGAUUGGGUUCCUAAGUCAAGGGUCCAGUGUAAUUAAACUGGUUCGGACAGUCUGACCUUUGCCCCAGGAGGCUGAUUUUGGAUUUCUGGACUCCUCAGCAGCACCAGGCAUUUGUGUUGAUUGCAGCCAGAAGUUUAUUGGCUUCGUUUCUCUCCCAAACGAACACAGCCUCUCAAACCCCAACAGUUCAACGAUGGAGCUUUUGAAAUUCUCCUGCCUCUGCUUAACUGGUUUCCCUCAGUGUGUCCUUUGCAGUGAUUAUCUCAUCGUCGGCUUGAAAACCGUGAGCAGAUCUGCACUGCACGGAACCAGUGGUGCACUGAGCUCCACUUUUAUUCUGAGGCGGAAUCUCACCGUGUGGCCCAGGCUGGGCUUGAACCUGCAAUCCUCCUGCCUCAGCCUCCUGGAUAGCUAGGAUGACCGCCAUGCACCACCUCGCCCAGCUGGAAACUGACUUUUUGGCCUGGCUCAUCUGGGCUGGCCUUUGUCCUUCAGCCCUCUGGGAAUCUGUGCGGACCCGGAAGCAAAGCUGAUCAGCUCACAGGGGCCUAAAAGCAAAGAGAGAGAAGCUGGGGCCCCAGUAUACCUUCCCACACUCCACCCCACGAUCUCAGGGUCUCCCACCAGGCCCUGCCUUUUAAAGGCCUCUCCACCUUCCAGGGGCACCGAGCUAGGCUUCAGGAGACGAGGAAAGUCCAUGCCAGUGCAGGGGUGGGACCUGAACGUGGUCUUGAGCCCAGGUUCCGUGGAAACAGAUUCACCGUGAUUUGGUGAGAAACGGGUCCGUUUACCAGCUCUGCUCCUUCUGGGCCUGCCUGGACCCUAAGUUCUGCUCACACCUGUCAGCUCAACCCUCAGGAGGCUGAGGCAGGAGGGUUACUGAAGCUCCGGAGCGUGAGGCCAGCUUGGAUAACAGCAGGACCCCGUCUCAAAAAAGGAAAGAAAAAGAAUAAAGGAGGUGAGCGUGGUGGUGCAUGCCUGCUAUCCCAGCUCUCUGGGAGGCGGAGGCAGGAGGGUCUCCAAUGUGAGCUUAGACCAGGCAGCUCAGUGACUUAGUGAGUCAAUAAAUAAACGGUAAAAGGGCUGGGUUUGUAACUGGGCAGCUGUUUGAGUAGAGAAAAAGACUGGCCAGGUGCCCUGUGCCCCACACAGACAUUUAAGAUCCCAGUGGCAGCCCCCAGGCGGGGAGAUCACCCUGCCUCAGCCUCCCGCCUCUCGGGGUCUUCCCAGGCUGCCUGGGACACAGCCUCAGCCAGCUGUAGACUCUCCUGCCUCGGCCUAGGUCCCCAUCCGUCUGCAGGGCCGGGCCGGGAGCCCUGCCUGGGUCCCAUCGACACCUUCCUGAUGCUGGCUGGGAAAAACGGAAAGCAGAGUUGAGAAAUGCCGUCUCCCCCUGAUUAAAUUCUCCCUGGAGCCCUGGCUCCUGGCAACACUGUGAGGGCUGGGUGUGCAGGGCUGGAAUUCUCCUCCGGAUGCUGCGCUUCCCCUGGGCUCGGCCACCUUCAGCUCUGUUCUGCCCCGGAGAGUGGAGAGCGGAGAGCAGAGAAUGGGUGGAUCAUGCAGAGCGACCGAUCCGGUUCACAGGAGAGGCCCAGGCUCGUCUGAAUGUGCAGCGAGGUGGCUUGGCCAGGGACUUUGACGUGGAUGGGCUGCUUCCCGGUCACCAUGGUGUGAGCCUCUUUCCUCUCCCAUGGCCGUCCGCCAUGAUGCUCCUGCCUUGGAGCAGCCGACCGAGGACUGAACCCCCUGAGACCACUGGAGCAGCCGACCGCGGACUGAGCCCCCUGAGACCACUGGAGCAGCCGACCGCGGACUGAGCCCCCUGAGACCACUGGAGCAGCCGACCGCGGACUGAACCCUCUGAGACCAUGAUCCCAGUUCAGCAUCUCCUAAGUUAUUUUUCUUGGGCGUUUUAAUACAGCAACAGGGGGCUGGUUAACACAGUACCCGACCUGGAAAUAUCCAUAUCCACAGACACAAAAGUCAGCAUGUGACAGAUCACAAGCAGCCCUAUUCACGGUAGUCCUAAAGCAGAAACAACGUAGGUGUCCACAGUAGGUGAAUGGAUGAACAGCAUGGUCCACUGUGGAAUAUUAUGCAGCCAUGAAAAGGAGCAAAGGUCUCUCUAAUACAAAGUGGAUGGAUCUUGAGGGCGCAGGGCUCAGUGGAGAAGCCCAACAUGAAAGACCCUCAGCGUGGGACUGUGUGGGUAGACUUCGGCAGACCUGAGAUGGGCAUGGCAGCUUCCUUCUGAGGUGCCACACGCUCUGAGUGGAUGGUGCUGACGGCCACUCACCCCUGAGGCCGAGCCUGUGGCCUUCGAGUUGUCUGCUUAAGCAGAGGGUGAUCCGUGGGGUCUGAGCUGGGUCACAACGCACCUAUUUUUUGUUUUGUGCAACCAGGGGUGGAACGCAGAACCUUGCGCUUGUGAGGCAGGCACAGUGGCACUGAGCUACAUCCCCUGCCCCUCAAUGGACCUGUUUUUAAAAGAAAGACCAAGGGCCGGGGAUGUAGCUCCGUGGUUCUGCCACCUGCCACCACGUGCAAGGUCCAGAGUUUGAUCCCCAGUACCAAGAAAAUAAAUGCAUAAAGGAAAGACCAGG